UUACUAUCUAAAUGUUUAAUUUCAAAAAAUCAAAUAAUUGAAGCUAUCCCCAGGGAUAGGACAGUCUAAGAAUUAACAGUUUUGAAGAUAAUAGGCACUAAGUGGAACUUAGGCACAUUCAGACUUUGGAGGAUCUUGUGCCUCCUCUGCCACUGGAAAGAAGCAGCAUCUGCAAUACAGCGAAUCAUUUGCCCAAGUAAUCCGUGAAAAUAACAUAAUGAACUGAUUCAUAAUCCUAAAAAGUAAGACCAAAAGCAGACCUGAGUCAAGAUAUUAAGCACUGUAAACACUGAGUUUGCUAGGAGUUCUGUAGGACUGGAGAAACAGGCUGUAUGACAACUCAGUUUCUAUGGUCACUCUGGGCUUUUUGAAUUCCAUUGCGGCAGAUGACUCAGAGAGUCUGGGUAUUGAAAUUUUAUAGUAGUGACCUUCAAGUCCAAGGCCUCUUUCAGUCUCUCUCAAUAUGUGCUGAAGUACACCUUUAAGGAACAACACAGGCCCCGACUUUGCCACUGAGCAGAAGCCCUUUGGCUUCAUAGCCACCCUAAAAACAUGGAACCUGAACGCUGAAACAGCCACAUGAUGGCAGCAAGGUAUCAGAAGGACGCAGGACUUCACUGCCUCAGAGAGCAGAAAUGUGAGUAUUUAAAGGCUGCAGUCUUUCUAUUUAUUCUACUACUCUCUCAAAGGAAGUAACUGUAAAAUAAAUCAUGAAUCAUUUAGGUUGGAAGAGACUUUCAAGAUGAUCAAGUCCACCAGAUCCUUUUCUGCUGGGUAAUGUUCCAGCCACGUUUUCCCAAGGCUUUUCUGCUGCAUGUGUUGUUACGACUCUGCAUAGUUCCAAGCAACUUCUGGCUGAUGUGAGAAUAUCAGUCCUUCCUAUUUAAUGGUUCUGUGAUUGUGUGACAUAUGCACCUGUCUAUGUAAAAGACCUUUUUUGGGGUAAGAAUACAAUCAAAUGUAAAUCCACAACUGAUAAACAGUCUGGAUCAUGUAUCAACCAUAAUAUUCAAAGCCUUCAUCCUGACAUUGACUCCAAACUGGGCAAUGAAGUGGCUGAUCCAGGGCUUGAUCAUAAAGCAACUGAAGGAGAGGCGCAUGCCAGCUAGAAUGCGUUCAUUGAAAUGUUUUUGUUUGUUUGUUUGUUUUAAUGCGAAUUCUCUUUUUCUUGGUGUGAUUGUAAGCUCAGCUGAGAAGGGCAUGUGAUAGGUUGACCCUGGUCGUCACUCACUACCCCUCAGUGGGAUGGGGGAGAGAAUUGGAAGAG
rnacentral:lncRNA from 1 species